UGGCGGCAGGCCUAACACAUGCAAGUCGAGCGCGAAAGGCUUUCGGGCUGAGUAGAGCGGCGGACGGGUGAGUAACGCGUAGGAAUCUACCUGGUAGUGGGGGACAACUUGGGGAAACUUAAGCUAAUACCGCAUACGCCCCAAGGGGGAAAGCGGGGGACCUUCGGGCCUCGCGCUAUCAGAUGAGCCUGCGUAGGAUUAGCUAGUUGGUGAGGUAAAGGCUCACCAAGGCGACGAUCCUUAGCUGGUCUGAGAGGAUGAUCAGCCACACUGGGACUGAGACACGGCCCAGACUCCUACGGGAGGCAGCAGUGGGGAAUAUUGCGCAAUGGGGGCAACCCUGACGCAGCCAUGCCGCGUGUGUGAAGAAGGCCUUCGGGUUGUAAAGCAC
rnacentral:rRNA from 1 species